UUAUACGGAAUCCCUCGGGAGGAAGUGUGAAUGACUGAGUGGCGGACGGGUGAGUAACGCGUGGGCAACCUGCCCCGUACCGGGGGAUAACAGCCGGAAACGGCUGCUAAUACCGCAUAUGCUUUGCGGGCCGCAUGGCCCGCAAAGCAAAACUCCGGUGGUACGGGAUGGGCCCGCGUCUGAUUAGCUGGUUGGCGGAGUAACGGCCCACCAAGGCGACGAUCAGUAGCCGGCCUGAGAGGGCGGCCGGCCACAUUGGGACUGAGACACGGCCCAGACUCCUGCGGGAGGCAGCAGUGGGGAAUAUUGCACAAUGGGGGAAACCCUGAUGCAGCGACGCCGCGUGGGCGAGGAAGUACCUCGGUAUGUAAAGCCCUAUCAGCAGGGAAGAAACAGGACAGUACCUGACUAAGAAGCCCCGGCUAACUACGUGCCAGCAGCCGCGGUAAUACGUAGGGGGCAAGCGUUAUCCGGAUUCACUGGGCGUAAAGGGAGCGCAGGCGGCAUGGCAAGUCUGAUGUGAAAACCCGGGGCCCAACCCCGGGAGUGCAUUGGAAACUGCCAGGCUGGAGUGUCGGAGGGGUAAGCGGAAUUCCUAGUGUAGCGGUGAAAUGCGUAGAUAUUAGGAGGAACACCAGUGGCGAAGGCGGCUUACUGGACGACUACUGACGCUGAAGCUCGAAAGCGUGGGGAGCAA
rnacentral:rRNA from 1 species